CCUACGGGGUGCAGCAGUGGGGAAUAUUGGACAAUGGGCGAAAGCCUGAUCCAGCCAUGCCGCGUGUGUGAAGAAGGCCUUCGGGUUGUAAAGCACUUUCAGUGGGGAAGAAAGCCUUGGGGCUAAUACCCUCGAGGAAGGACAUCACCCACAGAAGAAGCACCGGCUAACUCCGUGCCAGCAGCCGCGGUAAUACGGAGGGUGCGAGCGUUAAUCGGAAUUACUGGGCGUAAAGCGCGCGUAGGCGGUCUGAUAAGCCGGUUGUGAAAGCCCCGGGCUCAACCUGGGAACGGCAUCCGGAACUGUCAGGCUAGAGUGCAGGAGAGGAAGGUAGAAUUCCCGGUGUAGCGGUGAAAUGCGUAGAGAUCGGGAGGAAUACCAGUGGCGAAGGCGGCCUUCUGGACUGACACUGACGCUGUGGUGCGAAAGCGUGGGUAGCAAACAGGAUUAGAUACCCUAGUAGUC
rnacentral:rRNA from 1 species